AAAAUGUUUGAGGAAGUACGGGAGAGGUUUGCCAGAGGAGAGUUGGAAACUGAUCAAAGACCUGAAUUCGAACAGGUGACAGGAUCUGAAAUGAUGGAAACUUGUUAUCUGGUGAACGAGUUAUUCAUUGGAUCAGAGGA